GCUGGCAGCUAGCUCUCUGCAACUCUCACAUGGUCGCCCACUGAAGCUAAGCAGAGCUGUGCCCGGUCAGUCCCUGGAUGGAAGACCACAUGGGAAAGCUAGGUUGCUACCGGAA
rfam:Danio rerio chromosome 18, GRCz11 reference primary assembly.